rnacentral:pre_miRNA from 1 species
GUUGGGGGGAAUGCUGUCUGGUUCAAGGCUGCCUCUGAUUAGAUUAGAUGUAUUAUUUUGCAACGAUAGAUAAUUUAAUCUUAUACUCAAUGAUUUUCUUCCAAUCAUUAGUGCGGGGAUCUAUGCUAAUGCUGAGCUAAUGAUCAAUAUAUAUGUCGUCCUCGGACCAGGCUUCAUUCCCCUCAAU